rnacentral:rRNA from 1 species
CAGUCGCCGCGGGAAUACGAAGGGUGCAAGCGUUACUCGGAAUUACUGGGCGUAAAGCGUGCGUAGGUGGUGGUUUAAGUCCGUUGUGAAAGCCCUGGGCUCAACCUGGGAAUUGCAGUGGAUACUGGGUCACUAGAGUGUGGUAGAGGAUAGUGGAAUUUCCGGUGUAGCAGUGAAAUGCGUAGAGAUCGGAAGGAACAUCUGUGGCGAAGGCGACUAUCUGGGCCAACACUGACACUGAGGCACGAAAGCGUGGGGAGCAAACAGGAUUAGAUACCCCUGUAGUCCCUGUCUCUUAUAA